rnacentral:rRNA from 1 species
AUUGAACGCUGGCGGCAUGCCUUACACAUGCAAGUCGAACGGCAGCACGGGUGCUUGCACCUGGUGGCGAGUGGCGAACGGGGGAGUAAUACAUCGGGACAUCUCCUGUAGUGGGGGAGAGCCCCGCGAAAGCCGGAUUCAUACCGCAUACGAUCUACUGAUUAAAGUGGGGGCCCUUCGGGCCUCGCGCUAUAGGGUUGGCUGAUGGCUGAUUAGCUAGUUGGUGGGGUAAAGGCCUACCAAGGCGACGAUCAGUACCUGGUCUGAGAGGACGACCAGCCACACUGGGACUGAGACACGGCCCAGACUCCUACGGGAGGCAGCAGUGGGGAAUUUUGGACAAUGGGCGAAAGCCUGAUGCAGCAAUGCCGCGUGUGUGAAGAAGGCCUUCGGGUUGUAAAGCUCUUUUGUCAGGAAAGAAAUACUUGGCCCUAAUACGGUCGGGGGUUGACGGUACCGGAAGAAUAAGCACCGGCUAACUACGUG